UGGGGAAUAUUGGACAAUGGGGGCAACCCUGAUCCAGCGAUGCCGCGUGAGUGAAGAAGGCCUUCGGGUCGUAAAGCUCUUUAGGUUGGGAAGAAGGUUGUGCGGGGAUAAUCCGCAUGAUUUGACGGUACCGACAAAAUAAGCACCGGCAAACUCUGUGCCAGCAGCCGCGGUAAUACAGAGGGUGCGAGCGUUAAUCGGAGUUACUGGGCGUAAAGGGCGCGUAGGCGGUUAUAUGAGUGUGAUGUGAAAGCCCCGGGCUUAACCUGGGAAGUGCAUCGCAAACGAUAUAACUGGAGUAUAUGAGAGGGUGGCGGAAUUUCCGGUGUAGCGGUGAAAUGCGUAGAGAUCGGAAGGAACGUCGAUGGCGAAGGCAGCCACCUGGCAUAAUACUGACGCUGAGGCGCGAAAGCGUGGGGAGCGAACAGG
rnacentral:rRNA from 1 species